CAAAAAGUUGUAAGUGCACUAAGGGAAGUGGACAGAAAAGUGUCUGCUGAAGAAACUCCCAUAUUCACCAUGUAAGAUCCUACCCACAGACAUCAAGCUCCCGAAGGAAUAACAAGCAAGCUACUGACCCUGGAAAGAAAGAAAAAACAAACAAACCACAAGCUGGAAACAGAAAGGGGCAACUCUUAAAGACAGGCUGUACUUCAACAAUCUCAAGUUAUACUUGCCCAAGAACAUAUACUCAGCAGUGGUCAAGUGGGCCUACGGAGCAUCUGUCCAGAACCCUCAUGAACUCUUUUGAUCAAUAAAUACUCUGAAGUACCAGGAAUUGCCUCUCUGACCAACAGUUACUGUAAAUCUUGUGCCAUUUGUGCCAAGGGCAACUCAAGAAGAAUGGAUGAAAGCCCCAAGCAUCUAGCCAAACCUCAUUAUCUCUUCCAGAGGAGUCAAGUCGCCAGAAUGCCAAAGAAUGGCUGAUUCAAAUAUGCACUAAUUAUAG